AUUGAACGCUGGCGGCAGGCCUAACGCAUGCAAGUCGAGCGGAUGAAGGGAGCUUGCUCCUGGAUUCAGCGGCGGACGGGUGAGUAAUGCCUAGGAAUCUGCCUGGUAGUGGGGGAUAACGUCCGGAAACGGGCGCUAAUACCGCAUACGUCCUGAGGGAGAAAGUGGGGGAUCUUCGGACCUCACGCUAUCAGAUGAGCCUAGGUCGGAUUAGCUAGUUGGUGGGGUAAAGGCCUACCAAGGCGACGAUCCGUAACUGGUCUGAGAGGAUGAUCAGUCACACUGGAACUGAGACACGGUCCAGACUCCUACGGGAGGCAGCAGUGGGGAAUAUUGGACAAUGGGCGAAAGCCUGAUCCAGCCAUGCCGCGUAUGUGAAGAAGGUCUUCGGAUUGUAAAGCACUUUAAGUUGGGAGGAAGGGCAGUAAGUUAAUACCUUGCUGUUUUGACGUUACCAACAGAAUAAGCACCGGCUAACUUCGUG
rnacentral:rRNA from 1 species